rnacentral:rRNA from 1 species
AAAAUGACUCUCGACAACGGAUAUUUCGGCUCUCGCAUCGAUGAAGAACGUAGCGAAAUGCGAUACUUGGUGUGAAUUGCAGAAUCCCGUGAACCAUCGAGUUUUUGAACGUAAGUUGCGCCCAAAGCUAUUAGGCCAAGGGCACGUCUACCUGGGCAUCACGCAUCACGUCGCCCC